rnacentral:SRP_RNA from 13 species
UGUAUCGUAAUGUGUUGUCCUAUUGAAGCUUUCAGUCGCCAGUGCUGUAUUGUACUGAAGUACGAUUCAACUGGGCGUGAACGAAUGGCGAACCGCCUCAGGCUGGAAACAGAGCAGGGAAAAGUCAUCGCUGUCUGCAGUCAAAGGAUCGC